rnacentral:rRNA from 1 species
AGUGAGGAAUAUUGCACAAUGGGGGGAACCCUGAUGCAGCAACGCCGCGUGGAGGAUGACGCAUUUCGGUGUGUAAACUCCUUUUAUAAGGGAAGAAAAUGACGGUACCUUAUGAAUAAGCACCGGCUAACUCCGUGCCAGCAGCCGCGGUAAUACGGAGGGUGCAAGCGUUACUCGGAAUCACUGGGCGUAAAGGACGCGUAGGCGGGCUAAAAAGUCAGGUGUGAAAGCCUACAGCUUAACUGUAGAACUGCACUUGAAACUCUUAGCCUAGAGUAUGGGAGGGGGAGAUGGAAUUAGUGGUGUAGGGGUAAAAUCCGUAGAUAUCACUAGGAAUACCGAAAGCGAAGGCGAUCUCCUGGAACAUUACUGACGCUAAGGCGUGAAAGCGUGGGGAGCAAACGGGAUUAGAUACCCCGGUAGUCCACGCCCUAAACGAUGUUCACUAGUCGUCGGGGUACUAGUUACUUCGGUGAUGCACUUAACAGAUUAAGUGAACCGCCUGGGGAGUACGGUCGCAAGAUUAAAACUCAAAGGAAUAGACGGGGACCCGCACAAGUGGUGGAGCAUGUGGUUUAAUUCGAAGAUACGCGAAGAACCUUACCUAGCCUUGACAUUGAUAGAAUACACCAGAGAUGGAGUAGUGCCCUUCGGGGAGCUUGAAAACAGGUGCUGCACGGCUGUCGUCAGCUCGUGUCGUGAGAUGUUGGGUUAAGUCCCGCAACGAGCGCAACCCUCGCCAAUAGUUAAUAACAGUUCGGCUGAUGACUCUAUUGGGACUGCCUUCGCAAGGAGGAGGAAGGUGAGGACGACGUCAAGUCAUCAUGGCCCUUAUGGCUAGGGCUACACACGUGCUACAAUGGGGCGUACAAAGAGUUGCGAUACCGCGAGGUGGAGCUAAUCUCUUAAAGCGUCUCUCAGUUCGGAUUGGAGUCUGCAACUCGACUCCAUGAAGCUGGAAUCACUAGUAAUCGUAGAUCAGCAAUGCUACGGUGAAUACGU